UGAACGCGAAGAACCUUACCAGGUCUUGACAUCCUCUGACACUCCUAGAGAUAGGACUCUUCCCCUUCGGGGGACAGAGUGACAGGUGGUGCAUGGUUGUCGUCAGCUCGUGUCGUGAGAUGUUGGGUUAAGUCCCGCAACGAGCUCAACCCUUGAUCUUAGUUGCCAGCAUUCAGUUGGGCACUCUAAGGUGACUGCCGGUGACAAACCGGAGGAAGGUGGGGAUGACGUCAAAUCAUCAUGCCCCUUAUGACCUGGGCUACACACGUGCUACAAUGGAUGGUACAAAGGGCUGCAAAACCGCAAGGUCGAGCCAAUCCCAUAAAACCAUUCUCAGUUCGGAUUGCAGGCUGCAACUCGCCUGCAUGAAGCCGGAAUCGCUAGUAAUCGCGGAUCAGCAUGCCGCGGUGAAUACGUUCCCGGGUCUUGUACACACGCA
rnacentral:rRNA from 1 species